UACGAAGGGUGCAAGCGUUAAUCGGAAUUACUGGGCGUAAAGGGUGCGUAGGCGGUUCGUUAAGUCUGUCGUGAAAUCCCCGGGCUCAACCUGGGAAUGGCGAUGGAUACUGGCGAGCUAGAGUGUGUCAGAGGAUGGUGGAAUUCCCGGUGUAGCGGUGAAAUGCGUAGAGAUCGGGAGGAACACCAGUGGCGAAGGCGGCCACCUGGGACAACACUGACGCUGAAGCACGAAAGCGUGGGGAGCAAACAGG
rnacentral:rRNA from 1 species